GUCAUAUGCUUGUCUCAAAGAUUAAGCCAUGCAUGUCUCAGUACAAGCCAAAUUAAGGUGAAACCGCGAAAGGCUCAUUAAAUCAGUUAUGGUUCCUUAGAUCGUACCCACAAUUACUUGGAUAACUGUGGUAAUUCUAGAGCUAAUACAUGCAAACAGAGCUCCGACCGGAGACGGGAGGAGUGCUUUUAUUAGAUCAAAACCAAUCGGUGGCGAGUUCACGCUCGUCAUCGUACAACUUGGUGACUCUGAAUAACUUUACGCUGAUCGCACGGUCAUCGCACCGGCGACGCAUCUUUCAAAUGUCUGCCUUAUCAACUGUCGAUGGUAGGUUCUGCGCCUACCAUGGUUGUAACGGGUAACGGGGAAUCAGGGUUCGAUUCCGGAGAGGGAGCCUGAGAAACGGCUACCACAUCCAAGGAAGGCAGCAGGCGCGCAAAUUACCCACUCCCGGCACGGGGAGGUAGUGACGAAAAAUAACGAUACGGGACUCAUCCGAGGCCCCGUAAUCGGAAUGAGUACACUCUAAACCCUUUAACGAGGAUCAAUUGGAGGGCAAGUCUGGUGCCAGCAGCC
rnacentral:rRNA from 1 species